rnacentral:rRNA from 1 species
GUCGAGCGACAGAUAAGGAGCUUGCUCCUUUGAAGUUAGCGGCGGACGGGUGAGUAACACGUGGGUAACCUACCUAUAAGACUGGGAUAACUUCGGGAAACCGGAGCUAAUACCGGAUAACAUUUAGAACCGCAUGGUUCUAAAGUGAAAGAUGGUUUUGCUAUCACUUAUAGAUGGACCCGCGCCGUAUUAGCUAGUUGGUAAGGUAACGGCUUACCAAGGCGACGAUACGUAGCCGACCUGAGAGGGUGAUCGGCCACACUGGAACUGAGACACGGUCCAGACUCCUACGGGAGGCAGCAGUAGGGAAUCUUCCGCAAUGGGCGAAAGCCUGACGGAGCAACGCCGCGUGAGUGAUGAAGGGUUUCGGCUCGUAAAACUCUGUUAUUAGGGAAGAACAAAUGUGUAAGUAACUGUGCACAUCUUGACGGUACCUAAUCAGAAAGCCACGGCUAACUACGUGCCAGCAGCCGCGGUAAUACGUAGGUGGCAAGCGUUAUCCGGAAUUAUUGGGCGUAAAGCGCGCGUAGGCGGUUUCUUAAGUCUGAUGUGAAAGCCCACGGCUCAACCGUGGAGGGUCAUUGGAAACUGGGAAACUUGAGUGCAGAAGAGGAAAGUGGAAUUCCAUGUGUAGCGG